rnacentral:tRNA from 1 species
GUAUUGGUGAUUCAGUGGUAGAAUUCGAGCCUUCUAUGUGGGAGACUUGGGUUCAGUUCUCAACCAGUGCA